rnacentral:rRNA from 1 species
GAUGAACGCUGGCGGCGUGCCUAAUACAUGCAAGUCGAGCGAACAGAUGAGGAGUUUGCUCCUCUGACGUUAGCGGCGGACGGGUGAGUAACACGUGGAUAACCUACCUAUAAGACUGGGAUAACUUCGGGAAACCGGAGCUAACACCGGAUAAUAUAUUGAACCGCAUGGUUCAUUAGUGAAAGACGGUUUUGCUGUCCCUUAUAGAUGGAUCCCCGCCGCAUUAGCUAGUUGGUAAGGUAACGGCUUACCAAGGCAACGAUGCGUAGCCGACCUGAGAGGGUGAUCGGCCACACUGGAACUGAGACACGGUCCAGACUCCUACGGGAGGCAGCAGUAGGGAAUCUUCCGCAAUGGGCGAAAGCCUGACGGAGCAACGCCGCGUGAGUGAUGAAGGUCUUCGGAUCGUAAAACUCUGUUAUUAGGGAAGAACAAAUGUGUAAGUAACUAUGCACGUCUUGACGGUACCUAAUCAGAAAGCCACGGCUAACUACGUG